UACGUAGGUGGCAAGCGUUGUCCGGAAUUACUGGGUGUAAAGCGCGUGUAGGCGGGAGGCCAAGUCUGCUGUGAAAUCGCCCGGCUCAACUGGGCGGGGUCGGUGGAAACUGGUCACCUGGAGGACGGUAGAGGCGAGUGGAAUUCUCGGUGUAGCGGUGAAAUGCGUAGAUAUCGAGAGGAACACCUGCGGCGAAGGCGGGUUGCUGGGCUGACACGUGACGCUGAGGCGCGAAAGCUAGGGGAGCGAACGGG
rnacentral:rRNA from 1 species